rnacentral:rRNA from 1 species
UACAUGGGGUGCAAACGUUGCUCGGAAUUAUUGGGCGUAAAGCGCGCGUAGGCGGUUACUCAAGUCGGAUGUGAAAGCCCUCGGCUUAACUGAGGAAGUGCACCCGAAACUGAGUAGCUAGAGUACCAAAGAGGGUCGCGGAAUUCCCGGUGUAGAGGUGAAAUUCGUAGAUAUCGGGAGGAACACCGGUGGCGAAGGCGGCGACCUGGGUGGAUACUGACGCUGAGACGCGAAAGCGUGGGGAGCAAACAGG